rnacentral:lncRNA from 1 species
GGGACUGUAUGUUGGGCUUGUUGGAGAAUAAGAUGGAGAUGUCGGAGAAUAUGAAGGGGACGUGGGGCUGGAAAAUGAAACAUUAGACAUAUGCUUGGAGUAAAAAAUUAACAAAAACUAAAUGUGCAGCCAAACUCAAGUUUUUGACUAAAAACACAGGGGGACUCUGUUUGAACUUUUAAGGUUCUGUAUUCAAUAUAAAAAAUAAAUAUUUAAGAAGUUCAGAGGAUUACUCACCUGUAGUUUGGGGAUGUGGGACUAUAUGGACUUGAUGGAGACAAUCUUGGACUGCUUGGAGAAUAUGCUAACGAAGGACUAUACUUUGCUGACUGUAGAUUGUAACUUGGGGAAGUAGGACUAUACGUUGGGGAUGUUGGGCUAUAUGAGGGUGACGUAGGGCUGUAUCCAGGUGACGUGGGGCUGUAGGCAGGGGAUGUAGGGCUAUAUGAUGGGGAGGUCGGGCUGUAAGAGGGUGAUGUGGGGCUGUAGGAAGGUGAAGUAGGACUAUAUGAAGGUGAUGUAGGACUGUAGGAAGGUGAAGUCGGACUAUAAGCAGGUGAAGUGGGGCUAUAGGCAGGUGAAGUGGGGCUGUAUGCAGGUGAAGUGGGGCUGUAGCUGGGAGAUGUGGGGCUAUAACUGGGUGAUGUGGGGCUGUAGCUGGGUGACGUGGGGCUAUAGCUGGGUGAUGUGGGAGAGUAGGAUGGACUGGUAGGCGAAUAAGCCGGACUUGUAGGACUAUAUCCUGGAGAACUAGGGCUAUAUGUCGGAGAGGUCGGACUGUAACCUGGUGAUGUAGGGCUGUAGCCCGGAGAUGUGGGACUGUACCCAGGUGAUGUGGGGCUGUACCCAGGCGAUGAUGGACUAUAGCCUGGGGAUGAUGGACUGUACCCAGGAGAUGAGGUGGGAGAAAAUGCCAUCCCACCAACAUAAGGUGAAAAUUGGGCAUCCGAUGUGGGAGACAGACGCAAAUUUGGACUC